rnacentral:rRNA from 1 species
UACGUAGGGUGCAAGCGUUGUCCGGAAUUAUUGGGCGUAAAGAGCGUGUAGGCGGCCAGGUAGGUCUGGUGUGAAAACUCGAGGCUUAACCUCGAGAUGUCAUCGGAAACCAUCUGGCUAGAGUCCGGAAGAGGAGAGUGGAAUUCCUGGUGGUAGCGGUGAAAUGCGCAGAUAUCAGGAAGAACACCAAUGGCGAAAGCAGCUCUCUGGGGACGGUACUGACGCUGAGACGCGAAAGCGUGGGGAGCGAACAGG